rnacentral:rRNA from 1 species
GACGAACGCUUGCGGCGUGCUUAACACAUGCAAGUCGAACGGAAAGGCCCUGCUUUUGUGGGGUGCUCGAGUGGCGAACGGGUGAGUAACACGUGAGUAACCUGCCCUUGACUUUGGGAUAACUUCAGGAAACUGGGGCUAAUACCGGAUAGGAGCUCCUGCUGCAUGGUGGGGGUUGGAAAGUUUCGGCGGUUGGGGAUGGACUCGCGGCUUAUCAGCUUGUUGGUGGGGUAGUGGCUUACCAAGGCUUUGACGGGUAGCCGGCCUGAGAGGGUGACCGGCCACAUUGGGACUGAGAUACGGCCCAGACUCCUACGGGAGGCAGCAGUGGGGAAUAUUGCACAAUGGGCGGAAGCCUGAUGCAGCAACGCCGCGUGCGGGAUGACGGCCUUCGGGUUGUAAACCGCUUUCGCCUGUGACGAAGCGUGAGUGACGGUAAUGGGUAAAGAAGCACCGGCUAACUACGUGCCAGCAGCCGCGGUGAUACGUAGGGUGCGAGCGUUGUCCGGAUUUAUUGGGCGUAAAGGGCUCGUAGGUGGUUGAUCGCGUCGGAAGUGUAAUCUUGGGGCUUAACCCUGAGCGUGCUUUCGAUACGGGUUGACUUGAGGAAGGUAGGGGAGUAUGGAAUUCCUGGUGGAGCGGUGGAAUGCGCAGAUAUCAGGAGGAACACCAGUGGCGAAGGCGGUUCUCUGGGCCUUUCCUGACGCUGAGGAGCGAAAGCGUGGGGAGCGAACAGGCUUAGAUACCCUGGUAGUCCACGCUGUAAACGGUGGGUACUAGGUGUGGGGUCCAUUCCACGGGUUCCGUGCCGUAGCUAACGCUUUAAGUACCCCGCCUGGGGAGUACGGCCGCAAGGCUAAAACUCAAAGGAAUUGACGGGGCCCCGCACAAGCGGCGGAGCAUGCGGAUUAAUUCGAUGCAACGCGUAGAACCUUACCUGGGUUUGACAUGGAUCGGGAGUGCUCAGAGAUGGGUGUGCCUCUUUUGGGGUCGGUUCACAGGUGGUGCAUGCCUGUCGUCAGCUCGUGUCGUGAGAUGUUGGGUUAAGUCCCGCAACGAGCGCAACCCUUGUUCACUGUUGCCAGCACGUUAUGGUGGGGACUCAGUGGAGACCGCCGGGGUCAACUCGGAGGAAGGUGGGGAUGACGUCAAGUCAUCAUGCCCCUUAUGUCCAGGGCUUCACGCAUGCUACAAUGGCUGGUACAGAGAGUGGCGAGCCUGUGAGGGUGAGCGAAUCUCGGAAAGCCGGUCUCAGUUCGGAUUGGGGUCUGCAACUCGACCUCAUGAAGUCGGAGUCGCUAGUAAUCGCAGAUCAGCAACGCUGCGGUGAAUACGUUCCCGGGGCU